CUCAGCUGUAGGCAGCUGCCUAGGUUGUCUUGUACCUAAGCAAGUGUGACGCUUCUGGGAAAACAGCAGCCAGUAGCUCGUUGGCAUUUUGGCCCUUGCUCAUGCCGACUCUGUUGUUUAACUACACCAGGUGCCAGCAUAGUCGGGAAAAAA
rnacentral:snoRNA from 1 species